UAUCGCAAUAACAAUCCUCUUACUCUCCCUCUCUGCUCACAAUCCCUUCUCCCUCAAAGUUGAAUAAGGCUCUCUGCAACCCGAAGCUCUCCUUCUCCCUCAACCUUUCGAAUCUCCCGCUCUGCAACCCGAAGCUCCCUUCUCCAUCAACCUAGACGAAUCUCCCUCUCUGUAACCUGAACAAAAUGGUUUUAUUUUAAGGUGAAAAUGACCUAUCGCUUCAUAGUUUCAAUAUUGUGGUGAAGCAGAAGCAAGUUAUUGUGGAGAAGGUUGGUGAGCCAAACCAAGAUGAGAUGGGAGAAGCUUAUAAAGAACUCCAAGUGCAGUAUUUUUCAAAGAAACCACUUGAAGGGAAUAAUUGUGAAGAGAAAUAGGUUACAUGAUACCGGGGUGAAUACGAUGGGAUUCAGGGUCAUAUAAUGUUGUAUAAUGUUUCAUUAGACAGUUUGUUAGUUACUAUAGAUAAGAUGAUAUGCCCACAAGGACAAAAAUGGACCUGGAAUGGUUCCAAUCAAAUGGUUUGGGGGGGACUAGGCAGGUUCAUGAUUGUCACAGCUAAAAUACUAAACCAGCAGUAGAUUAGAACAAAAAAUAUGCCUCUACUUUUAGAACAAAAAAGCUUCACCUAGAAUGCUCCU